AACGAACGCUGGCGGCAUGCCUAACACAUGCAAGUCGAACGAGACCUUCGGGUCUAGUGGCGCACGGGUGCGUAACGCGUGGGAACCUGCCCUUAGGUUCGGAAUAACUCCCCGAAAGGGGUGCUAAUACCGGAUAAUGUCUUCGGACCAAAGAUUUAUCGCCUUUGGAUGGACCCGCGUUGGAUUAGCUAGUUGGUAGGGUAAAAGCCUACCAAGGCGACGAUCCAUAGCUGGUCUGAGAGGAUGGUCAGCCACACUGGGACUGAGACACGGCCCAGACUCCUACGGGAGGCAGCAGUGGGGAAUAUUGGACAAUGGGCGAAAGCCUGAUCCAGCAAUGCCGCGUGAGUGAUGAAGGCCUUAGGGUUGUAAAGCUCUUUUACCCGGGAUGAUACUGACAGUACCGGGAGAAUAAGCUCCGGCUAACUCCGUG
rnacentral:rRNA from 1 species